AAAUUGAAGAGUUUGAUCAUGGCUCAGAUUGAACGCUGGCGGCAGGCCUAACACAUGCAAGUCGAACGGUAACAGGAAGCAGCUUGCUGCUUCGCUGACGAGUGGCGGACGGGUGAGUAAUGUCUGGGAAACUGCCUGAUGGAGGGGGAUAACUACUGGAAACGGUGGCUAAUACCGCAUAACGUCGCAAGACCAAAGAGGGGGACCUUCGGGCCUCUUGCCAUCAGAUGUGCCCAGAUGGGAUUAGCUUGUUGGUGAGGUAACGGCUCACCAAGGCGACGAUCCCUAGCUGGUCUGAGAGGAUGACCAGCCACACUGGAACUGAGACACGGUCCAGACUCCUACGGGAGGCAGCAGUGGGGAAUAUUGCACAAUGGGCGCAAGCCUGAUGCAGCCAUGCCGCGUGUAUGAAGAAGGCCUUCGGGUUGUAAAGUACUUUCAGCGGGGAGGAAGGUGUUGUGGUUAAUAACCACAGCAAUUGACGUUACCCGCAGAAGAAGCACCGGCUAACUCCGUGCCAGCAGCCGCGGUAAUACGGAGGGUGCAAGCGUUAAUCGGAAUUACUGGGCGUAAAGCGCACGCAGGCGGUCUGUCAAGUCGGAUGUGAAAUCCCCGGGCUCAACCUGGGAACUGCAUUCGAAACUGGCAGGCUUGAGUCUUGUAGAGGGGGGUAGAAUUCCAGGUGUAGCGGUGAAAUGCGUAGAGAUCUGGAGGAAUACCGGUGGCGAAGGCGGCCCCCUGGACAAAGACUGACGCUCAGGUGCGAAAGCGUGGGGAGCAAACAGGAUUAGAUACCCUGGUAGUCCACGCCGUAAACGAUGUCUACUUGGAGGUUGUGCCCUUGAGGCGUGGCUUCCGGAGCUAACGCGUUAAGUAGACCGCCUGGGGAGUACGGCCGCAAGGUUAAAACUCAAAUGAAUUGACGGGGGCCCGCACAAGCGGUGGAGCAUGUGGUUUAAUUCGAUGCAACGCGAAGAACCUUACCUGGUCUUGACAUCCACGGAAGUUUUCAGAGAUGAGAAUGUGCCUUCGGGAACCGUGAGACAGGUGCUGCAUGGCUGUCGUCAGCUCGUGUUGUGAAAUGUUGGGUUAAGUCCCGCAACGAGCGCAACCCUUAUCCUUUGUUGCCAGCGGUUAGGCCGGGAACUCAAAGGAGACUGCCAGUGAUAAACUGGAGGAAGGUGGGGAUGACGUCAAGUCAUCAUGGCCCUUACGACCAGGGCUACACACGUGCUACAAUGGCGCAUACAAAGAGAAGCGACCUCGCGAGAGCAAGCGGACCUCAUAAAGUGCGUCGUAGUCCGGAUUGGAGUCUGCAACUCGACUCCAUGAAGUCGGAAUCGCUAGUAAUCGUGGAUCAGAAUGCCACGGUGAAUACGUUCCCGGGCCUUGUACACACCGCCCGUCACACCAUGGGAGUGGGUUGCAAAAGAAGUAGGUAGCUUAACCUUCGGGAGGGCGCUUACCACUUUGUGAUUCAUGACUGGGGUGAAGUCGUAACAAGGUAACCGUAGGGGAACCUGCGGUUGGAUCACCUCCUUACCUUAAAGAAGC
rnacentral:rRNA from 1 species